GCUGGGUGGAUUAGUGGCGAACGGGUGAGUAACACGUGAGUAACCUGCCCUUAACUCUGGGAUAAGCCUGGGAAACUGGGUCUAAUACCGGAUAGGAGCGCCUACCGCAUGGUGGGUGUUGGAAAGAUUUAUCGGUUUUGGAUGGACUCGCGGCCUAUCAGCUUGUUGGUGAGGUAAUGGCUCACCAAGGCGACGACGGGUAGCCGGCCUGAGAGGGUGACCGGCCACACUGGGACUGAGACACGGCCCAGACUCCUACGGGAGGCAGCAGUGGGGAAUAUUGCACAAUGGGCGCAAGCCUGAUGCAGCGACGCCGCGUGAGGGAUGACGGCCUUCGGGUUGUAAACCUCUUUCAGUAGGGAAGAAGCGAAAGUGACGGUACCUGCAGAAGAAGCACCGGCUAACUACGUGCCAGCAGCCGCGGUAAUACGUAGGGUGCGAGCGUUAUCCGGAAUUAUUGGGCGUAAAGAGCUCGUAGGCGGUUUGUCGCGUCUGUCGUGAAAGUCCGGGGCUUAACCCCGGAUCUGCGGUGGGUACGGGCAGACUAGAGUGCAGUAGGGGAGACUGGAAUUCCUGGUGUAGCGGUGGAAUGCGCAGAUAUCAGGAGGAACACCGAUGGCGAAGGCAGGUCUCUGGGCUGUAACUGACGCUGAGGAGCGAAAGCAUGGGGAGCGAACAGGAUUAGAUACCCUGGUAGUCCAUGCCGUAAACGUUGGGCACUAGGUGUGGGGACCAUUCCACGGUUUCCGCGCCGCAGCUAACGCAUUAAGUGCCCCGCCUGGGGAGUACGGCCGCAAGGC
rnacentral:rRNA from 1 species